rnacentral:lncRNA from 1 species
CCGAACUGCCCCCAGCGCCCCCCGCCCACGCCCUUUAUAGCCGCGGCCCGCACAGCCCCGCCCCCCUCGUGCCAGCCCAGCCAAUCCCAGCGUCCGGCAGCGUCCGGCCCCGCCAAUCCCCGCCUGCCCGUUCCCGCCCUGCCCGUCCCCAAGAACGCCGCUGUCCCCUCAGGCCCCGCUCCCAGGGGCUGCUCCGCUCCCGCCCGCUGCCCGCCUCCCUCCCCUUCUCCCGGGAGAACUACGGGACGGGACGGGACCGCGGACCUCCCGCCCGCCCUUCCAACAGCGCCUGCGGGUGCCGCGGCAGCGCAGGCGCGGCUCCGCCGGAUCCCGAAGCAAAGGCGCCGAGAGCGGCGCCUGAGGGGAACGCGGGGGGCGAGGUGGAGAGGGGGGGGCUCCGCGCCGCGGCUGAGCGGGCAGAGCUUGCUCGACCGCGGCCCCAUUGAAAGGGCCGCCGCCGCUCCCGCCCCCUCCCCGCCUCCCGGAAGAACUCCCAGACGGGACGUGAGCGCGGAGCUGUGCCACCCGCCCUCCCUGGUCCCAACAGGGCCUGUCGGGGGCUGCGGCAGCGCAGGCGCGGCUCCGGAAGCAAAGGCGCCGGCACCUACAGCGCCUGAGGGGAACGUGGGGAAGGGGGGCGGCGCCGCGACGCGGCUGAGCGGGCACAGCUUACGGGACCGCGGCCCCAUUGAAAGGGCGGGCUACGAUUGGACGGAGCGGAGAAAAGCGGGCUGGGAGUGGCGGGCCGGGAUCGGACCUGCACGUCGGGAGCCAGAACCUCCCGGAGAGAGCGGCCCCUGUGCCCAAGACAGGCCACGUGCCUGGAGCGGCAGCCGCAGUCCCGCCCCAGCUCACCGCGAUCUCGUCCCCGGCUCGCCGCUCCAGGCCGCUUCCACCUCCGCCGCCGCUUCACCUCCGCCGCCGAACUGCCCCUCCGCGCCCCCUCUCCCGCUAUUUAUAGACCGCGGCCCGCAUUAGCCCCCCCCCGUGCCAGCCCCGCCACCCGCCCGUUCCCGAGAACGCCGCUGGCCCCGCAGGCCCCGCUCCCGGAGCCCCUCCCGCCCGCUCCCCGCCUCCCUCCCCUUCUCCUGGGAGAGCUCCCGGACGGGACGUGACCGCGGAGCUCCCACCGCCCUUCCGUGGUCCCAGCAGCGCCUGAGGGGAACGGGGGGACGGUGUCGCGCGGAGGGGCCGCGCCGCGGCUGAGCGGGCAGAGCUUGCGGGACCGCGGCCGGAUUGAAAAGGCGGGCUGUGAUUGGACGGCGCCGAGAAAGGCGGGCCGGGAUUGGCGGGCCAGACGCUGCCUCGGGCCCGGAUUGGCGGGGCUUGGAGCCCGCGGGGCCGCGGCCGCGGGUGGCGGGAGGUGCUCGGGUGGUCGGGCGGAGGGACGAGGG